rnacentral:rRNA from 1 species
UACGUAGGGUGCGAGCGUUGUCCGGAAUUAUUGGGCGUAAAGGGCUCGUAGGCGGUUUGUCGCGUCGGGAGUGAAAACUCAGGGCUUAACCCUGAGCCUGCUUCCGAUACGGGCAGACUAGAGGUAUGCAGGGGAGAACGGAAUUCCUGGUGUAGCGGUGAAAUGCGCAGAUAUCAGGAGGAACACCGGUGGCGAAGGCGGUUCUCUGGGCAUUGCCUGACGCUGAGGAGCGAAAGCGUGGGGAGCAAACAGG